GACGGGGGAUGCAAGUGUUAUCCGGAUUUACUGGGCGUAAAGCGUCUGCAGGUGGUUUCUUAAGUCUACUGUUAAAUCUUGAGGCUCAACCUCAAAUCUGCAGUAGAAACUAGGAGACUUGAGUAUAGUAGGGGUAGAGGGAAUUUCCAGUGGAGCGGUGAAAUGCGUAGAUAUUGGAAAGAACACCGAUGGCGAAGGCACUCUACUGGGCUAUUACUGACACUCAGAGACGAAAGCUAGGGGAGCAAAUGGGAUUAGAUACCCGCGUAGU
rnacentral:rRNA from 1 species